CUAAAAAUGGCUGGGUUAUUUUUUAACCCAAAAUGCUGGGUUGAGUCUGUUGGGUUGUUUUGCUGGGUUAUUUUUUUACAUUUUAAACACUUUUUGGGUAGUUUCAGUUUUCUGGUUGUUGGGUUAAAACUGCUGGGUUAUUAUACUGGGUUGUUUGAAGAGGCUCACGUGCUUCGCGCCUUGGAUGUUUGAAUGUGCUCAGCAACGGUCGUCGUGAAAGGACAGAGUCACUGGAAGCAGUUGUUUCAAGGUAAGUUUAUAUGUUUUUGUAAACAUUUCAUGAAUAUAAACAAGAUUAUAACAUUUUGCGAGACAGCAACGUGUUAAUUUAUACAGACUAAGACGACGGGUGUAAUUUAGAGGAAUGACGACUGUUACCUCAGAUCGCCAUUUACACAAAUUGACUCGAAUAAUCGUUCUAAGAUGUUUAAUAUGGCAUAUUAAUAAAAUUAAUAAAAUCGAUGUUACAAAAUCCCCAUCAUACGGUUGAUUACGUUAACUCAUGACAAUUUCUGUAAGCCUUUAACAAAGCGAGUCAAAACCGGUACCGAGCCGACCUCCGCAACGUUUCGGCUUUUUGUGUCACACACGCGCAUAGUUUUCCCAGCUUAGCAAUAGCGACACUAUUAAAUUAAAGUUGAUGACAAACGAGUUGCUUUCUUGUCAUUCGAUAUGGAAAGACAGACCGCGAGGCGCGAGCACAAGUUAACUUAACCGGCGGCGGAGAAUUGCGGAGCCGGCGUCUACUCUGUCACUGAGAGGCAGGGACAAGCAGCACUUUCACUUCACAGUCGAGUGUGCAGAGUUUUUAUGUCCAUCCAUUAAUGAGGCUAGCAAGGCCUUCAUACAACUUCAGCCAAUUGCAACAAAUGUGGUGGAAGUUCUUCUCUGGACAGAAUCCUCGAAAUCCUUUCCUUUAUUUCCUGGCAAUGGGAAACAUGCAACAGAUCUCUCAAUCUUUUUUCUCUAUCAGUCUCUCUGAUGAAGCCAAUACGGAAGUGACUUAAACUGCAAUUCGGCCAAGAUGGCGACGGCACGCACCGCCUACUUUAGGCUUCAAAAAUGCUCUUCACAACCAAUGGGUGACAUCACGGACACUACUUUCAUAUUUUUUUACAGUCUAUGGUUUAAAGGCAUUUUACGUGCUUGAAAAUAAAUACCCCAGGCAAUGUGCAUCUACUGUAGUCUGUCAUUUUCCAAAUGGAUGAAUCCUCUGCUGUUCGGUUCCUUUGUACAUCUUUGUUCGUGAGGAGUAACUUUAAUAAAUGAAGUAUUUUUAGUCAAAUACAUACCAUACUCUGAAACUUGGAACAUCUGUUCUGUAAAAAACUUUACACAUCUGUAAAUGAUUUUACUUUUAAUUUAACAAUUACAUUGUUUAUUUUCUUACACUGCUGCAGUUUUGUUUAUGUACAU